rnacentral:rRNA from 1 species
AUUGAACGCUGGCGGCAGGCCUAACACAUGCAAGUCGAACGGUAACAGAAAGCAGCUUGCUGCUUUGCUGACGAGUGGCGGACGGGUGAGUAAUGUCUGGGAAACUGCCUGAUGGAGGGGGAUAACUACUGGAAACGGUAGCUAAUACCGCAUAACGUCGCAAGACCAAAGAGGAGGACCUUCGGGCCUCUUGCCAUCGGAUGUGCCCAGAUGGGAUUAGCUAGUAGGUGGGGUAACGGCUCACCUAGGCGACGAUCCCUAGCUGGUCUGAGAGGAUGACCAGCCACACUGGAACUGAGGCACGGUCCAGACUCCUACGGGAGGCAGCAGUGGGGAAUAUUGCACAAUGGGCGCAAGCCUGAUGCAGCCAUGCCGCGUGUAUGAAGAAGGCCUUCGGGUUGUAAAGUACUUUCAGCGGGGAGGAAGGGAGUAAAGUUAAUACCUUUGCUCAUUGACGUUACCCGCAGAAGAAGCACCGGCUAACUCCGUG